rnacentral:pre_miRNA from 1 species
GAAGUACUCCCUCCGUCCCAAAAUUCUUGUCUUAGAUUUGUCUAGAUACGGAUGUAUCAAGUCACAUUUUAGUAUUAGAUACAUCCGUAUCUAGAUAAAUCUAAGACAAGAAAUUUGGGACAGAGGGAGUAGUUG